UACGUAGGGUGCGAGCGUUGUCCGGAAUUAUUGGGCGUAAAGGGCUCGUAGGCGGUUUGUCGCGUCGGGAGUGAAAUCCACUGGCUUAACUGGUGGCUUGCUUUCGAUACGGGCAGACUGGAGGUAUGCAGGGGAGAACGGAAUUCCUGGUGUAGCGGUGAAAUGCGUAGAUAUCUGGAGGAACACCGGUGGCGAAGGCGGCGUUCUGGACUGCAACUGACACUGAUGAACGAAAGCCAGGGGAGCAAACGGG
rnacentral:rRNA from 1 species